CCAACACUUCUGCCUCUCCUUGUUGCUGCUGCUGCUUCUCAGCUUUCUGAACCCCUGUAUGCAUAAUGAAAGUGAGAGUAGGGAGAGAUUUGCCAUUGGCACUUUUCGCACCUGCGGCCGACCACGAACUCUGUGAGAGGUUUGGGUUGUAGCACAUAUCUUGGGACCCGAAAGAUGGUUAACUAUGCUUGGGUAAGGUGAAGUCAGGCGAAAGCCUGCUGGAAGAUCGUAGCGAUACUGACGUGCAAAUCGUUCGUCAAACUUGGGUAUAGGGGCUAAAAUGCUUGGGGAAAUCUCGACAGU
rnacentral:ncRNA from 1 species